rnacentral:rRNA from 1 species
UUGGAGGGCAAGUCUGGUGCCAUAGNUGCGGUAAUUCUAGCUCCAAUAGCGUAUAUUAAAGUUGUUGCAGUUAAAAAGCUCGUAGUUGAAUUUCAGGAUUAGUAGGUUGGUCAUGCCUCUGGUAUGUACUGGUCUCACUGAUUCCUCCUUCCUGAUGAACCGUAAUGCCAUUAAUUUGGUGUUAUGGGGAAUUUGGACUGUUACUUUGAAAAAAUUAGAGUGUUUAAAGCAGGCUAACGCUUGAAUACAUUAGCAUGGAAUAAUGAAAUAGGACGUUCGAUCCUAUUUUGUUGGUUUCUAGGAUUGACGUAAUGAUUAAUAGGGAUAGUUGGGGGCAUUAGUAUUCAAUUGUCAGAGGUGAAAUUCUUGGAUUUAUUGAAGACUAACUACUGCGAAAGCAUUUGCCAAGGAUGUUUUCAUUAAUCAAGAACGAAAGUUAGGGGAUCGAAGACGAUCAGAUACCGUCGUAGUCUUAACCAUAAACUAUGCCGACUAGGGAUCGGAUGAUGUUAAUUUUUUAAUGACUCAUUCGGCGCCUUACGGGAAAC